CCAAAGGCUCUUUUCAGAGCCACCCCCAUGCUCACAAAGGAGCUU
rfam:Loxodonta africana unplaced genomic scaffold scaffold_110, whole genome shotgun sequence.